GACGAACGCUGGCGGCGUGCUUAACACAUGCAAGUCGAACGAUGAAGCCGGAGCUUGCUCCGGUGGAUUAGUGGCGAACGGGUGAGUAACACGUGAGCAAUCUGCCCUUGACUCAGGGAUAACUGCGGGAAACUGUAGCUAAUACCGGAUACGAGGCUCGAAGGCAUCUUCGGGUCUGGAAAGAAUUUCGGUCAAGGAUGAGCUCGCGGCCUAUCAGCUUGUUGGUGAGGUAAUGGCUCACCAAGGCGACGACGGGUAGCCGGCCUGAGAGGGUGACCGGCCACACUGGGACUGAGACACGGCCCAGACUCCUACGGGAGGCAGCAGUGGGGAAUAUUGCACAAUGGGCGAAAGCCUGAUGCAGCAACGCCGCGUGAGGGAUGAAGGCCUUCGGGUUGUAAACCUCCUUUAGCAGGGAAGAAGCGAAAGUGACGGUACCUGCAGAAAAAGCACCGGCUAACUACGUGCCAGCCGCCGCCGUAA
rnacentral:rRNA from 1 species